rnacentral:rRNA from 1 species
GGCUCCCUCAAUAGAUUACCACUCAGUA